rnacentral:rRNA from 1 species
AUUGAACGCUGGCGGCAGGCCUAACACAUGCAAGUCGAACGGUAGCACGGGGGCAACCCUGGUGGCGAGUGGCGAACGGGUGAGUAAUGCAUCGGAACGUGCCCAGUAGUGGGGGAUAACCAGUCGAAAGAUUGGCUAAUACCGCAUACGACCUACGGGUGAAAGCGGGGGACCGUAAGGCCUCGCGCUAUUGGAGCCGCCGAUUUCUGAUUAGCUAGUUGGCGGGGUAAGUGCCCACCAAGGCGACGAUCAGUAGAUGGUCUGAGAGGACGACCAGCUACACUGGGACUGAGACACGGCCCAGACUCCUACGGGAGGCAGCAGUGGGGAAUUUUGGACAAUGGGCGCAAGCCUGAUCCAGCCAUGCCGCGUGCGGGAAGAAGGCCUUCGGGUUGUAAACCGCUUUUGGCAGGAACGAAACGGCGACCUCUAAUACGGGUCGUUAAUGACGGUACCUGCAGAAUAAGCACCGGCUAACUACGUGCCAGCCGCCGCAGUAA